UACAGAGGGUGCAAGCGUUGUUCGGAAUUAUUGGGCGUAAAGCGCGUGUAGGCGGCUUUGCAAGUCGGGUGUGAAAGCCCUCAGCUCAACUGAGGAAGUGCGCCCGAAACUGCAGAGCUUGAGUGCCGGAGAGGGUGGCGGAAUUCCCCAAGUAGAGGUGAAAUUCGUAGAUAUCUGGAGGAACACCGGUGGCGAAGGCGGCAUCCUGGACCGAUAUUGACGCUGAGGCGCGAAAGCCAGGGGAGCAAACGGG
rnacentral:rRNA from 1 species